rnacentral:tRNA from 1 species
AGGAGAGUAAGCCCUGAUGGUGACGGGCGCUGUUUGCUAAACAGUUGGGGCGGUUUACCCCGUCUCGGGUUCGAUUCCCGUGCUCUCCU